AUUGAACGCUGGCGGCAUGCUUUACACAUGCAAGUCGAACGGUAACAGGUUAAGCUGACGAGUGGCGAACGGGUGAGUAAUGCAUCGGAACGUGCCCGAUCGUGGGGGAUAACGCAGCGAAAGCUGCGCUAAUACCGCAUGCGAUCUGAGGAUGAAAGCGGGGGACCGUAAGGCCUCGCGCGAUCGGAGCGGCCGAUGGCAGAUUAGGUAGUUGGUGGGGUAAAGGCCCACCAAGCCGACGAUCUGUAGCUGGUCUGAGAGGACGACCAGCCACACUGGGACUGAGACACGGCCCAGACUCCUACGGGAGGCAGCAGUGGGGAAUUUUGGACAAUGGGCGAAAGCCUGAUCCAGCAAUGCCGCGUGCAGGAAGAAGGCCUUCGGGUUGUAAACUGCUUUUGUACGGAGCGAAAAGGUCCUUUCUAAUACAAGGGGCUCAUGACGGUACCGUAAGAAUAAGCACCGGCUAACUACGUGCCAGCCGCCGCAGUAA
rnacentral:rRNA from 1 species